rnacentral:rRNA from 1 species
CAGUCGCCGCGGUAAUACGAGGGGUGCAAGCGUUAUUCGGAUUGAUUGGGUGUAGAGGGUGUGCAGACGGCUUAUUAAGUCACUUGUUAAAUUCUUCGGCCUAACUGAAGGUCUGCAAGUGAUACCGAUGAGCUAGAGGGUGGAAGAGAGAAGUGGAAUUCUCGGAGUAGCGGUAAAAUGCGUAGAUCUCGAGAGGAACACCAAUAGCGAAGGCAGCUUCUUGGUCCAUUCCUGACGCUCAUACACGAAAGCGUGGGGAGCGAACAGGAUUAGAUACCCCAGUAGUCCCUGUCUCUUAUAC